rnacentral:rRNA from 1 species
GGAAUCUUCGGCAAUGGGGGCAACCCUGACCGAGCAACGCCGCGUGAGUGAAGAAGGUUUUCGGAUCGUAAAGCUCUGUUGUAAGAGAAGAACGUGUGUGAGAGUGGAAAGUUCACACAGUGACGGUAACUUACCAGAAAGGGACGGCUAACUACGUGCCAGCAGCCGCGGUAAUACGGAAGGUCCGGGCGUUAUCCGGAUUUAUUGGGUUUAAAGGGAGCGCAGGCUGAUGAUUAAGCGUGACGUGAAAUGUAGCCGCUCAACGGCUGAACUGCGUCGCGAACUAGUUAUCUUGAGUGAGUUCGAUGUUGGCGGAAUUCGUGGUGUAGCGGUGAAAUGCUUAGAUAUCACGAAGAACUCCGAUUGCGAAGGCAGCCAACAAGGCCUUUACUGACGCUAAAGCUCGAAGGUGCGGGUAUCGAACA